rnacentral:rRNA from 1 species
AGACUACGCCUACCGGGAGGCGAGCAGUGGGGAAGUAUUGCACAAUGGGGGAAACUCUGAUGCAGCGACGCCGCGUGAGUGAAGAAGUAUUUCGGUAUGUAAAGCUCUGUCAGCAGGGAAGAAAAUGACGGUACCUGACCAAGAAGCCCCGGCUAACUACGUGCC